UACGAAGGGGGCUAGCGUUGCUCGGAAUCACUGGGCGUAAAGCGCACGUAGGCGGAUUUGUAAGUCAGGGGUGAAAUCCCGGGGCUCAACCUCGGAACUGCCUUUGAUACUGCAAAUCUCGAGUCCGGAAGAGGUGAGUGGAAUUCCUAGUGUAGAGGUGAAAUUCGUAGAUAUUAGGAAGAACACCAGUGGCGAAGGCGGCUCACUGGUCCGGUACUGACGCUGAGGUGCGAAAGCGUGGGGAGCAACAGG
rnacentral:rRNA from 1 species